rnacentral:tRNA from 1 species
GCAGGUGUAGCUCAAUGUUUGAGUGCCGGCUUGCCAAGCCGGAGGCCACGGGUUCGAGCCCCGUCACCUGCU